rnacentral:rRNA from 1 species
ACCUGCGGAGGAUCAUUAUUGAAUAAACCUGAUGUGGCUGUUAGCUGGCUUUUCGAAGCAUGUGCUCGCCCAUCAUCUUUAUCUCUCCACCUGUGCACUUUUUGUAGUCUUGAAUACCUCUCGAGGCGACUCGGAUUUUAGGAUUGCCGUGCUUUAUACCCAAAGCCGGCUUUUCUUUCUUUUUCAAAACAAUUUUUUUCUAUACCCCCCAAAUUAUGUUUAAAAAAGGUCAUCAUUAGAAACUUGUUCCCAAUAAAACUAUACAACUUUCACCAACGGACCUUUGGGCUCUCGCAUCAAUAAAAAACCCACCGAAUUGCAAUAAUUAAGGUGAAUUGCAAAAUUCAUGGAACCACCAAACCUUUAAACGCACCUGGCGCUCCUUGGAAUCCCAAGAAGCAGGCCGGUUUGAUUGUCAUUAAAUUCUCAACCUUUCCGCCUUUAAUAAUUUGGGCCAGGCUGGAAUGUGGGGUUUGCAGGCUUCCUUUUAUUCUGCUCUCCGUAUUCGCUUAAACGGACCUUUUGAGGACCGUCUAUCGGUGUGAGGUGUAUAUACACCGUGGAUGUAGGGCAGUUAUGAUAUUUUCAACUUCUACCUGUCAACUGACUUGGACAUUUUUGACAUUUUGACCUUAAACUUGUAGCACGACCCACUACACUUUAACUUAAAGCUAUCGAGAGAAGGAGAAA